rnacentral:rRNA from 1 species
UACGUAGGGGGCGAGCGUUGUCCGGAUUUAUUGGGCGUAAAGAGCGUGUAGGCGGUUCGGUAAGUCUGUCGUGAAAUCCUGAGGCUCAACCUCGGGCGUGCGAUGGAUACUGCCGGGCUAGAGGAUGGUAGAGGCGAGUGGAAUUCCCGGUGUAGCGGUGAAAUGCGCAGAUAUCAGGAAGAACACCUAUGGCGAAGGCAGCUCUCUGGGACGGUACUGACGCUGAGACGCGAAAGCGUGGGGAGCGAACAGG